AGAGUUUGAUCCUGGCUCAGAAGAACGCUGGCAGCGUGCAUAACACAUGCAAGUCGAACGGGAUUAUUAUCUUCGGAUGAUAUNAGAGUGGCGAACGGGUGAGUAACACGUAAGAAUCUACCUUUAGGACGGGGAUAACUUCUGAAACGGAUGCUAAUACCCGAUAUGCUGUGGAGUGAAAGGAAUUUCGCCUAAAGAUGAUCUUGCGUCUGAUUAGCUAGAUAGUGUGGUAAUGGCGCACUAUGGCGACGAUCAGUAGCUGGUCUGAGAGGAUGGACAGCCACAUUGGAACUGAGACACGGUCCAAACUCCUACGGGAGGCAGCAGUGGGGAAUUUUCCGCAAUGGGCGAAAGCCUGACGGAGCGACGCUGCGUGAAGGAUGACGGCCUGCGGGUUGUAAACUUCUUUUCUCGAAGAAGAAUAAAUGACGGUAUUCGAGGAAUAAGCAUCGGCUAACUCUGUGCCAGCAGCCGCGGUAAGACAGAGGAUGCAAGUGUUAUUCGGAUUGAUUGGGCGUAAAGCGUCUGUAGGCGGUUUGGAAAGUCUUUUGUGAAAUUCUUCAGCUCAACUGGGGGUCCGCAAAAGAAACUUCUAGGCUU
rnacentral:rRNA from 1 species